AAAACAGAACUGUCACUAGUGGACAAAUGCACACUGACAGCACUACAGUGGUUUGUGUACUAGCAGCACAAGGUAAUUGGCUGAACACUAGGCUGAACAGCUAGGGCAAGGCACAAUGAUCAAAAAGGCACAUAUAAUAUGGUAGCUUACCGAGUGUUCCCUCAGGAAUGACUCCUGUGGGACACUGGUAAGCUGCCCAACACCUCCCUCAGCCAAUCAGCCUGCGCCCCUCCCUGAUAGAGUGGCGUGAGCCGCGGGUGAAAAGAGCGGCAAAUCUGCCAACCCUUAAGAUGGCCGCCGCGAUGCGCGGGAGUGAACCGCGCAUGCGCGAGCGGUGUAAGUGGCCGUCAGAGCAACAGCCGUCCGUCUGGCGGCUAAACGGCUCGUUCCGGUCCG